AGAGUUUGAUCAUGGCUCAGAUUGAACGCUGGCGGCAUGCCUUACACAUGCAAGUCGAACGGCAGCGCGGGGCAACCUGGCGGCGAGUGGCGAACGGGUGAGUAAUAUAUCGGAACGUACCCAGGAGUGGGGGAUAACGUAGCGAAAGUUACGCUAAUACCGCAUACGAUCUAAGGAUGAAAGUGGGGGAUCCGCAAGGACCUCAUGCUCGUGGAGCGGCCGAUAUCUGAUUAGCUAGUUGGUAGGGUAAAGGCCUACCAAGGCAUCGAUCAGUAGCUGGUCUGAGAGGACGACCAGCCACACUGGGACUGAGACACGGCCCAGACUCCUACGGGAGGCAGCAGUGGGGAAUUUUGGACAAUGGGCGCAAGCCUGAUCCAGCAAUGCCGCGUGAGUGAAGAAGGCCUUCGGGUUGUAAAGCUCUUUUGUCGGGGAAGAAACGGUUCAUCUUAAUACGGUGGGCUAAUGACGGUACCCGAAGAAUAAGCACCGGCUAACUACGUGCCAGCAGCCGCGGUAAUACGUAGGGUGCAAGCGUUAAUCGGAAUUACUGGGCGUAAAGCGUGCGCAGGCGGUUUUGUAAGACAGAUGUGAAAUGCCCGGGCUCAACCUGGGAACUGCAUUUGUGACUGCAAGGCUAGAGUGUGUCAGAGGGGGGUAGAAUUCCACGUAGCAGUGAAAUGCGUAGAUAUGUGGAGGAAUACCGAUGGCGAAGGCAGCCCCCUGGGAUAACACUGACGCUCAUGCACGAAAGCGUGGGGAGCAAACAGGAUUAGAUACCCUAGUAGUCC
rnacentral:rRNA from 1 species